GUUAUGAUGGGAAUAGAUAUGGCGGCGGCAGUAGCGACAACUACAUGAGUUCUGCUACUGAUGGCAGCACUGGUGGGUAUGGUCAGAGUCCGGCUAGCUACGACAAUGCCAGCAACCAAUUUGCCAGCACCCCAAGCAGUGCAGAUGGCGGCUACAAUAAUGUGCCCAGGAAUGACCUUGAUGAUGGUUUCAAGUUGGAUGAUGAUGAGCCUGAGGACUUUGCCAAUAAGCGAGGGUGAUGGAUCCUCUCCUAUGAGCCAACAUCUGUUCUAAUAUCGGGCUGUGAAAUUAUUAGGAAUGAUGGAUAUUUAUCUGGUUAAAUAAGACUGGAUCUUUCUGUGUUCUAUAGUGUGUGAGACUUUGUUACCUUUUCUUCUUUAUGGUCACAAGUCCGAAACAAUUGAGUGCGACUUUACUGUGUAAAUGCUCAACGUUUGCAGGUACAACAUUUGUUCUAAUGAGC
rnacentral:misc_RNA from 1 species